rnacentral:sRNA from 1 species
UGCGUAAGGUGAUCGCGAAUGAUGUCAUC